rnacentral:rRNA from 1 species
UACGUAGGGUGCAAGCGUUGUCCGGAAUUAUUGGGCGUAAAGAGCUCGUAGGCGGGCUGUUGCGUCCGCUGUGAAAACUCGGGGCUUAACCCCGAGCCUGCAGUGGAUACGGGCAGACUAGAGGUAGGUAGGGGAGACUGGAAUUCCCGGUGUAGCGGUGAAAUGCGCAGAUAUCGGGAGGGACACCGGUGGCGAAGGCGGUUCUCUGGGCCUUACCUGACGCUGAGGAGCGAAAGCGUGGGGAGCGAACAGG